rnacentral:lncRNA from 1 species
CGAAGAACAUUUGAUCAGAUUGUGCAGCCCAAUCAAAACACGGUUUCAAACUAGAAUUUAUGAUUUCAAACAUAAAAUGACUCAAAAUAGUGGAAUGAACCGAUAAAAAUGAUGAAAGACGUACUGAUUCAAGCAUAGAACACUUAAACACAAUAGAUUACGAAAACCUAAAAACAAAUACGAAGAGCUUUAUGAAUAAACAAACUCAUAAUAGCUCUUAUAGGCAUUUAAUCGAACAAUUCAAGCACAACAAUAACAUAAUACUCAAGACAACACGGGAAACUCAAUGAUACGAAAUUGAAGAAACUAAAUCCAAAAACAAAACCGAAGAGUAAAUCUCUAAAAAAAAAAGACAAAUCAGAAUAGAUCAACACAUAUAAUGGAAAAUAAAAGUGAAUAACGCGAAAAACAAAAAAAAGAAACACUUAGCUCUGUGUAGACGCGCCUAACUUAGGCUCUGAAUACCACAUGAUGAUGCACACUCUAGGGAGAAGAUCGAACUUGAGUGAUUUGGACUCCUUGAGGCAUCCUUGAUGUUGAAUCACAGUGGAAGAAAAAAGGAUUCAAAGUACAUAAGUAGAAAACCCAAGGAGCAAAGGGAAAACACAAAACUGAUUGCGAAAUCACUAAAACCUUAGGUGAACUGAUUAAUCGGUGGGAAUGUGGUAAAAAAUGAAUUAAUCAGUGAAAUAAAUCAUAACAAGGAUUUAAUCGGUGAAAAGGCAAAAACAAACGAUGGGUCGAGGUAAAACCUAAUGGAAGAGGUUUUCCAGGAUUUGAUCUUGCGAGGAAUGGAGACAAUGUGUUUCAGUGAAGGAUCGGGUGAGGGAGAAGCUCAAAAGGUUUUGGAAAAGGAAGAUGUGGGAGGUUUCGAGAGGCAAAUCUGAAUGAAGUGUGUCUCUGUGAGGACAAGGCUUCCAAAGAGAAAUGCAAAAUGGAGAAGCACGUAUGAUGAGGCAUGAGAGGCAGCGUGAAACGUGUUAAGACCUCGACAAGUGUACCGAAUCGUAUCAAGUAAUAUAAAAUGGUAAGACCAAGUAUCGUAUCCCAUAAGACUCACGCCACUAGACAAUUGUGUAAUUACUUAACUGAUUAAGACUGAAAAGCUCUUUUGUAGGUUUUUAAAUGCAAUAAAAAUAAACAUGAUAACAAAAUGUAAAAUGUGAUCAAUU